GGGCAUGGAAGACUUCUCCUCCACCUAAAGGUCUAACUAUUAACCAUCCAUGGUCCGGAAACUGAAGUUACCGGUUCGAGUUUCCGAGCACAGUUUUGCGGGUGGGAGAUUUACUUGUACGCCUAGUAAUCCGGACUUAUAAUAAACUCCAACUACUUUAUCAUCAUAAAUUCACAGUAUUAUAUUUAAAAAAAACACAAGGAUUCUUAUAUGAUCCAGAGCUGAUUUUCAGAAAUUGUUCCUGUGAAGUUAUGAUCAAUCCCGGAACCUUGUUUUUGACUGUGCGGUCAAUGUUGCAUGAGAUCCUUCAGGUGUCGAAUUAAUAUAUAGUGAAAGGUAGCAUCUUUUGGUGCAAAUUACUACGUGAUUGCAGGUAUGGAGGCGGCGUGUACUUCAAACUUGCAGUACUGCAGUUGGAUUGCACCACAGAAGAUUAGACAGAAACCUAGUGGUUGCUUGGAGCUUCCUCAGAGAUGGGGAGAAGAUCGGAAGCAGCAGAUGCUGCUUAGUUCUAGGAUUAUGAAAGGGAGUGCUGAUUCAAAACGGCAUAGAUUGGUUGGAUUUGAGAUCAAUCGUUGCUAUAGGAACUCUGAAGAUUCAGCGUUGGAACCAGGAAGAACUCGUACUUUUGUUGAUGAACCUAAAAUAGUGAAGAAGAAGGCACAAGAGAUUGCCCCCUACUUAACUGGACGUUGCAUAUAUCUUGUUGGGAUGAUGGGUUCUGGUAAAACAACAGUUGGGAAGAUUUUAUCAGAAGUACUUGGUUAUUCUUUCUUUGACAGUGACAAAUUGGUGGAGCAGGCUGUGGGUAUGACUUCUGUUGCUCAAAUCUUCAAAGAACACAGUGAGACUUUCUUCAGAGAUAAUGAGAGUGAGGUAUUGCGGGAGUUGUCUUUGAUGCAUCGACUAGUUGUUGCCACCGGGGGUGGUGCAGUUAUUAGGCCGAUCAACUGGAAAUACAUGAAGCAUGGAAUCACUGUUUGGUUAGAUGUGCCAUUGGAAGCUUUGGCUACCAGAAUUGCAGCUGUAGGUACUGAUUCUCGCCCUCUUUUGCAUCAUGAGUCGGGCGAUGCUUACACAAAGGCUUUGGCACGGCUCUCAACACUUUCACAGGAAAGAGGUCACGCUUACACUAAUGCUGAUGCUAGGGUAUCCCUUGAACAUAUUGCAUCCAAACUGGGUCAUGGAGAUGUGUGCAGACUCACACCAACAGAUAUCGCAACUGAGGCUCUCAUUCAAAUGAAACACUUUUUAUUGGGCACCGAAGAAGAUGAUGAUGAAUAACGAUGUCGAACUGACAAAUUAUGUAGAAUAUCGAGUUUUUCAAGAUGAAGCAAUGGCUGCGUUGGAGGCUAUUCAGUGGGCAAAACGCAAAGGAAUCACUAGUCUUCAUAUGGAAGGAGAUAGCAAAAAUGCAAUCAAUGUUCAGUGGGCUAUGUUAAGUGGACUACUUGCAGUAUUAUUCAAGACUGGAUCUUUAUUCCUUUUCUAGUUGGAAAUGAUGCUACAUAUUUUAAUUUAGUUGUAGAUCGUCAAUCAAAUCACAUCUAGCACAUCUCUGAAGCAAGUUGAUCAUCAGGAUGAGCUUUGGAAUAAGUUCACUUAUAGUGCCUUCAGUUCAUGAAAGAUCACCAAGAUUCCAGAUCGAUACAUCCGUACUAGUAGCACUUUUAAUCUUAAUCAUGAAGAUCAUGACAGCCACUCCUCGGCUAUCAACAUAGAGUGCCUCCUUUCCGGGGAUUCAACAUUGGCCGACUCUGAAUUACAAAAACUUGACUCUGUUUGCAAAGACUGGGCUUCUUUCAGGUGGUAAAUCAUGGAAUUAGCUCUUCACUCAUUGAGAAAUUAAAAUCGGAAGUACACAACUUGUUUGAACUUCCAUUAGAGGAAAAAAAAGAAGUUGUGGCAGAAAUCAGGAGAUCAAGAGGGAUACGGGCACCAGUUUGUGGUUUCAGAUGACCAGAAGCUUGAUUGGUAUGACAUGUUCCUUAUAGCAACUUUACCAACUAGAAUUCGAAAGGCUCAUGUAUUUGCCGCUGUCUCGUUACCACUGAGGGAGGCGUUGGAGGUUUAUUCGCUAGGAUUGAAAAAACUGACCAUGAUUCUUCUUGGACAAAUGUCUAAAGCUCUAAACAUGGACUCUAACGAGAUGAUAGAUUUAUUUAAUGAUUGUUCGCAAAGAAUGAGGUUGAGUUACUAUCCUCCUUGCCCAAAACCAGAGCAGGUAUUAGGUGCAUCACCGCACUCGGAUGCUUGUGCUUUGACGAUUCUUUUACAAAUUAACGAAACAGAUGGACUUCAGAUCCGUAAAGAUGGAAAAUGGCUUCUAGUGAAACCCCUCCUUAUGCUUUUAUCGUCAAUGUUGGAGACAUGAUUGAGGUGCUAUUCCCUUCUUUUUUAAUUUGUUUAUUUGCAAGCACAACGUUUCGUUACAUCUGACUAGAAUUAUAAAGUCUAAAACCAGUUGUUGUGCCCGAGCGUUGCACGGCCCUAGAUAUUUUGCAGAGAAAAUUACGUAUUAGUGAUGGUAAUUGUUUUAGGGUUCAAAAUUUGAGAAAUAUAGACAAUAAAAACAGUAUAAUACUAAAAAUGAUAAUGUUAAAAGUAGUUAAUUAAUAAAAGUAGUUGAUUAAUAAUAAAAAUAAUAUAAAAAAAUCAAAACUAAAAUGAAAAGAAUUUAUUGUAAUUCUAAGAAAAAAUAGGAUUUCUCUUCCAGCCUUGUUGUUAGAUAACAGAACUACUACUUUGUUGUCUUUUUUUGUUUUACGGGUUUCGGGAAUAAUUUCUUCAUCAGAAUUUAUUAGUAUGAUUUUCUUGUCCGGAGUACGAGUAUUUAUUAGUCAUUUUCGAACGAAGUAUGAUGUUAUGAAAUUACACCGUGACAAUUCUAAGUUCUUUGUUGUACACUUUAAUUCUAGUUAUUACUGAACAAAUGUCAAAACAUGUAUUCAGUUCAUCACAUAUAAUAAUUUCAUA